AGCAGUCGCCACGGUAAUACGUAGGUCCCGAGCGUUGUCCGGAUUUAUUGGGCGUAAAGCGAGCGCAGGCGGUUAGAUAAGUCUGAAGUUAAAGGCUGUGGCUUAACCAUAGUACGCUUUGGAAACUGUUUAACUUGAGUGCAAGAGGGGAGAGUGGAAUUCCAUGUGUAGCGGUGAAAUGCGUAGAUAUAUGGAGGAACACCGGUGGCGAAAGCGGCUCUCUGGGCAGUAACUGACGCUGAGGAGCGAAAGCGUGGGGAGCAAACAGGAUUAGAGACCCCUGUAGUCCCUGUCUCUUAUACC
rnacentral:rRNA from 1 species